rnacentral:rRNA from 1 species
CCUACGGGGGGCAGCAGUGGGGAAUAUUGGACAAUGGGGGGAACCCUGAUCCAGCCAUGCCGCGUGUGUGAAGAAGGCCCUCGGGUUGUAAAGCACUUUCAGUGAGGAAGAACGCCUGGUGGUUAAUACCCAUCAGGAAAGACAUCACUCACAGAAGAAGCACCGGCUAACUCCGUGCCUGCAGCCGCGGUAAUACGGAGGGUGCGAGCGUUAAUCGGAAUUACUGGGCGUAAAGCGCGCGUAGGUGGCUUGAUAAGCCGGUUGUGAAAGCCCCGGGCUCAACCUGGGAACGGCAUCCGGAACUGUCAAGCUAGAGUGCAGGAGAGGAAGGUAGAAUUCCCGGUGUAGCGGUGAAAUGCGUAGAGAUCGGGAGGAAUACCAGUGGCGAAGGCGGCCUUCUGGACUGACACUGACACUGGGGUGCGAAAGCGUGGGUAGCAAACAGGAUUAGAUACCCGUGUAGUC